UUACGAUAUCAAAAGGUGACUGUAAGUGCGGCAAGCUCUCACUAGUCUAGCCCCUUAAAGCUCUUUCAUACGCGACACGUUUCUUCCAAAAAAAAGAGGUCUUGAAUCCGACAGUCAUCUUUAA